AACCUCCUGGCAAUUUGCAAUGCAUUUACCGCCGCAGAUUUGGCUCAGAUCAGUCUACAGAGGUGGGCUGCCGUCACUCGUUCGUGCGGCAACGCGUUGCAUGAAGGAGACAACUGUGCAGGUUUGUUUUGUUGUUGAUAUUAACGUAUAAUUGAUGUGUUUAUGUGUGUUUUCUUUGAGAAAAAUUGUUUAUAUUGUCACAUAUCUUUGCUUACUUACUAUCUCCAUGUAUGGAAAUUAGUUAAUUAAGAGAUUUUUAAUAUCAUUUGCAGGUUACAUUGUUCACUUUUGAGUUGGGCACUCCGUGCAAGGUUGAUCUGGUCGAUGGACAAAUAGAAAAAAAGUUUUUCAUGGCAUCCGCAUAUUGUGUUCUAUUUUUCCGAUGCAACUAAUAAAAUCGAACCAUUUUCC
rnacentral:lncRNA from 1 species